GACCGCUUAGCUCAGUUGGCAGAGCGUUGGGCUAGUAUUCCAAAGGUCGUAGGUUCGAAUCCCACCGUGGCCA
rnacentral:tRNA from 1 species